AUACGGAGGAUGCGAGCGUUAUCCGGAUUUAUUGGGUUUAAAGGGUGCGUAGGCUGUGCGUUAAGUCAGGGGUGAAAUGCCGUCGCUCAACGACGGAGCUGCCCUUGAUACUGGCGUGCUGGAGUACGGAUGCCGUUGGAGGAAUGAGUGGUGUAGCGGUGAAAUGCUUAGAUAUCACUCAGAACACCGAUUGCGAAGGCUACUGACGAAUCCGUCACUGACGCUGAGGCACGAAAGCGUGGGGAUAGAACAGGAUUAGAUACCCUGGUAUUCCACGCCGUAAACGAUGAUGACUAACCGUCGGCGAUAGACAGCCGGUGGCCAAGCGAAAGCGAUAAGUCAUCCACCUGGGGAGUACGUCGGCAACGAUGAAACUUAAAGGAAUUGACGGGG
rnacentral:rRNA from 1 species